UUAUCUUUGCGUCCAGUGGUUAGGACAUCGUCUUUUUAUGUCGAAGACCCGGGUUCAAUUCCCGCAAGGAAAU
rnacentral:tRNA from 1 species